UGGACCAAUGAUGUGAGUGGAAUGCAUUCUGAACUAUACUUCAUGAUCAAAACAUCUAUGACCUUCUGAGGUCCAU